rnacentral:rRNA from 1 species
GACGAGAGGCGCGGGUGUUAUUCGUUUUGAUUGGGUGUAAAGGGUACGUAGGCAGCUAUUGAUGUUGGUGACUGAAAACGCAGAGUGUUCCUAUGCGAAUGGUCCUUGAAUAACAUAGCUUGUGUUGAAAGAGUGGUUGGGGCAAUUUUACGUGUAGAGAUAGAAUUCCGACAUAUGUGGAGGAACGCUAGCUAGGCGGAGGCGCC